AGCGAACGCUGGCGGCAGGCUUAACACAUGCAAGUCGAGCGGGCAUCCUUGUGGUGUCAGCGGCAGACGGGUGAGUAACGCGUGGGAACGUGCCCUUCGGUUCGGAAUAACUCAGGGAAACUUGAGCUAAUACCGGAUACGUGCGAGAGCAGAAAGGUUUAUCUGCCGAAGGAUCGGCCCGCGUCUGAUUAGCUAGUUGGUGAGGUUAUGGCUCACCAAGGCGACGAUCAGUAGCUGGUCUGAGAGGAUGAUCAGCCACACUGGGACUGAGACACGGCCCAGACUCCUACGGGAGGCAGCAGUGGGGAAUAUUGGACAAUGGGGGCAACCCUGAUCCAGCCAUGCCGAGUGCGUGAUGACGGCCUUAGGGUUGUAAAGCUCUUUUACCGGGACGAUAAUGACGGUACCGGAGGAAUAAGCCCCGGCUAACUUCGUG
rnacentral:rRNA from 1 species